UUUUUUUUUUUUUUUUUUUUUAAUUUUUUUUUUUUUUUUUUAUUUUAAUUUUUCCCUUGUUUAGUAGGAGGUUGAGGAAGGGGAGAUUUUGAGGAGAUGAAAAUGAUUAUCACUUUCACUUUUGUGUGGCCCUGUGUGGCCUGAAACCCCCUUUGUGCUUUUAUAUGUUAAACUAUGGUUUGUUUUUACAAAAAAGAAAGGUAUGCUCAAAGUGAUCAUCAUAUGGUUUGGAGAGAAUGGACCUACCAUUUUAUAAUAAUGUUCAUUUGCUAAAGAGGCAACCAUGCUGAUUGCAACCACGCUGAUUUUCAUAUGCUACCAUCUCUACCCUAGAAAUAAUUUUGGUCGGCAAUUGAUUAGGUUUUAUCAUCAUCAUGUAUAAUGAUGACAUGUAAGCCAAAUACGAAGCACGUACUGUAAAUAUUUAUCAAAAAAUAUUUUAAGUUUACGGGAAAUUUGGAUUAGAGAGGUAUGUGCACAUGAAAAAUUAUGAAACGUAGAUACUAUUUACGUUAUGUAACUUUCAUUAUUUGCUUUUUAAAUGAAAAUAACAAGACUGUG
rnacentral:misc_RNA from 1 species